CCCCACUUAGCUCAGAGGUUAGAGCAUCGCAUUUGUAAUAUGACGGUCAUCGGUUCAAAUCUGAUAGUGGUCG
rnacentral:tRNA from 1 species